rnacentral:rRNA from 1 species
CAGAGGUUUGUCAUUUUAUAAUGGCAGAACUUUUAGAGAAAUCAUAGUUCUUGGGCUCUGGGGGAACUACGACCGCAAGGCUGAAACUUGAAGGAAUUGACGGAAGGGCACACCAGGGGUGGAGCCUGUGGCUUAAUUUGAAUCAACACGGGGAAACUUACCAGGACCAGAUGUUUUUUAUGACUGACAGGCUUCGGGUCUUUCAGGAUAUUGCUUUUGGUGGUGCAUGGCCGUUGGUGGUGCGUGGGUUGACCUGUCUAGCGUUGAUUCAGCUAACGAGCGAGAUUAUCGCCAAUUAUAUCGCUCGC